CCUACGGGGGGCAGCAGUGGGGGAUAUUGCACAAUGGGGGGAACCCUGAUGCAGCGACGCCGCGUGGGUGAAGAAGCGCCUCGGCGCGUAAAGCCCUGUCAGCAGGGAAGAAAAUGACGGUACCUGAAGAAGAAGCCCCGGCUAACUACGUGCCAGCAGCCGCGGUAAUACGUAGGGGGCAAGCGUUAUCCGGAUUUACUGGGUGUAAAGGGGGCGUAGACGGCUGUGCAAGCCAGGAGUGAAAGCCCGGGGCUCAACCCCGGGACUGCUCUUGGAACUGCGUGGCUGGAGUGCAGGAGAGGUAGGCGGAAUUCCUGGUGUAGCGGUGAAAUGCGUAGAUAUCAGGAGGAACACCAGUGGCGAAGGCGGCCUGCUGGACUGUAACUGACGUUGAGGCCCGAAAGCGUGGGGAGCAAACAGGAUUAGAUACCCCUGUAGUC
rnacentral:rRNA from 1 species